GUUACCACAAGAUAACUGUCAAUCACACACACACACACACACACACACACACGCCGCUGGAGCUCAGCAAACCUUUCCUGCUCUUGACGAGAUGAAGGAGUUUGUGUCCGUGAUGACGCGUCUCCAUUAAUGAUGGAUGACAUGAACAGACGAGUGCGGAUCACAUCCGCACACACACACCUGGAUGAAGACAGCUGUCCUAAAGGUCGCAUCGGCGCAGCAGGUGUUGUGCACGCUCCUCUUCCUCCUCGUCCACUGCGCGUUAAACCAGG